UCUAAAUGUGCCCUUGGGUUUAGAUUUGUGACCUUGGCCCCCUGGGCAGCCCCAGCCACGUGGCCCAGAUGAUCACUAAGCCACCCAUUGUGUCAGAUGCAUUUCCUAUUUUGAAGCAUUUUUGUCAUGAUAUUAUGUUUGUAUUUACCCGCAUGAGGCAAAAAUUACGUAUUGGAUUAUUGUCUUCCCACUCUGAUGCAGAAGCAGAAGCUGCCCAUAUGCUACGGUGUCAACUAUGCAGAUGGGCCCAGAUCAGCCAACAUGACACACAUCAAGUUGAACAGAAACGCCCACAGGAGCCUGGAAGAAGAUGCCGUCAGGAAUUGACAAGAAGCAUUUCGGCAGCUUAGUCUCCCUUUUCCUCCUCUCAAGAAUAAGGGUGAUGUUGUCAGCCUCUCAGAUGGUUGAGAAAAUGACUUAGCCUAGUGCCUGACACCCAGAAACUGCUCCAUGUAAGCGCCCCAUCCCCGUUGCUGUUCCACUGGAGAGAAAUGGAAACAAGGCUGUGGUAAACGACAUGCUUGGAUUGCAGCUAGACCUUGCAGCUUUUCAGGGAAUUGCGCCACAGAAAUGUGAGUUCCCUCAAUUUUCUCAGAUUCAUGAGGUGCAGGAAUAGAGUACAUACAUUGAUUUUUGCAGCCAAUAAAUAGACAAAGACCAGGAAAGGGAAACA
rnacentral:lncRNA from 1 species